UUUGGCAUGGUAUAAGAUGCAGCUCCCAUCGAGCUUGAAACAUUUCCACAACAGCAUCUGUGAACAUGGCAAAGCUCAAUCCAAUGGCCAAGAUGAUCUUCAUCUUCUUUAACGUUAUUAUUGCGGUCUCUGGGAUUGUUGUUUUCGCCUGGGGUCUGUACCUGCAACACAAGCAUGAGAAUCUCCAGUAUACAGUAGAAGUGUGCUUUGCAACUGGUUCUGCAAUGUGCCUUGCCGCUGUCUUUGGAGUUUAUGGUGCUUACAAAGAGAACAUAUCUGCACUGUCUGUGUUUGUCUUCCUGAAGACUAUGGCAAUUGGUGGCCUGAUUCGUACCGCCAUUAUAAUAGCAAACUCUUACUUGAGCACUAAGCAUCCCGAAGUAUUCUCCAGCACUGGUUUACAUAUUUCAGAAGAUGUGUACAAAAUCCUGAUGAAAGUGCUUUACUGCAUCAUAUCUCUCACUUGUCUGGCGGAUACAAUGUCUGUUGCGAUGAUCAAACAACUCAGAGGUGGUGUAUGUGGAUGAAACUUUUGUUAGAUUUUUUUUAUGCUAGUAUUUCGUACUUUGUAGGGCAGUGUGUCUGUAGGACUGGAGUGGAUUUAUGAUAAAUUGCUUUAUGAUAUAUUUGACAAUGCUUUGAUUUUCUCUUAUGUAAACACACACAAUAUACAUACUGUGUGUGUGUGUGUGUAUAUACAUAUAUAUAUAUAUAUAUAUAUAUAUAUAUAUAUAUAUAUAUAUAUAUACACACACACACAUAUAUAAUCUUCUGUAUAUAAUAUCUAAGCUGCUCUAAGGCGUUGGAAUUUAAAAUGCGCACUUCCUGAUCUUCAGAUGUGCUCAUGAUUCACAAUUUGGUAUGUUUAGUGUUCUGUUGUAUUUCUUAGUUUGUGCUACAAUAAAUCCUGGUCGCAUAACUGAGUGAAGAUGUGGCAAACUUUAUUAUAUAACCAGAAGAUUAAUCUCUCAUCACUGAUUCUAGCUAAUGGUGAAAUUAACAAGAAAUUAUGGAUGAAUUGUCUGUACUUUACCAGAAACAAGAGAGUGUAAGAAUGCACUAUUUUUAUAUAGUGUAUCAUAUGUUGACUACAGUGAUUUAUUUUUUCUAUUUUUUAAGACACAUUCAAGUUAUGCACAAGUCCUCAGUGUAUCCAGAUCUUUAAACCUGUGCAUGUGUUUAACCCUUUCUUGCAAUACACUGGGUGACAGACAUCAAUAGUCAAAAUGUUCUUGAGAUUUUUUUAUGUAGAGGAAAUAUAGGAAACAUAUUGCUGUUCAGCAAGGCAAGCUGUCAUUGACUUCUGUCAGUGCUUUAAAAACAAUGCCCAUUUAUUCUAAAGUUCGCAUAUUUAGAGAAUUGUUGAUGUAUUUUUGUAUGUUUACUUAAGCUUUCUUGAAUAAACUAUAUUGAUCACACUUUUGUGCUGUUAGUGAAUUACUCAUUGGAAAUUAAUUUCAGCUGUUAUGGUUUUCUGACUGCUUGAU
ensembl:lncRNA